AAUAAGGAUCGGCUAACUCCGUGCCAGCAGCCGCGGUAAUACGGAGGAUCCGAGCGUUAUCCGGAUUUAUUGGGUUUAAAGGGAGCGUAGAUGGAUGUUUAAGUCAGUUGUGAAAGUUUGCGGCUCAACCGUAAAAUUGCAGUUGAUACUGGAUAUCUUGAGUGCAGUUGAGGCAGGCGGAAUUCGUGGUGUAGCGGUGAAAUGCUUAGAUAUCACGAAGAACUCCGAUUGCGAAGGCAGCCUGCUAAGCUGCAACUGACAUUGAGGCUCGAAAGUGUGGGUAUCAAACAGGAUUAGAUACCCUGGUAGUCCACACGGUAAACGAUGAAUACUCGCUGUUUGCGAUAUACGGCAAGCGGCCAAGCGAAAGCGUUAAGUAUUCCACCUGGGGAGUACGCCGGCAACGGUGAAACUCAAAGGAAUUGACGGGGGCCCGCACAAGCGGAGGAACAUGUGGUUUAAUUCGAUGAUACGCGAGGAACCUUACCCGGGCUUAAAUUGCAGAUGAAUUACGGUGAAAGCCGUAAGCCGCAAGGCAUCUGUGAAGGUGCUGCAUGGUUGUCGUCAGCUCGUGCCGUGAGGUGUCGGCUUAAGUGCCAUAACGAGCGCAACCCUUGUUGUCAGUUACUAACAGGUUACGCUGAGGACUCUGACAAGACUGCCAUCGUAAGAUGUGAGGAAGGUGGGGAUGACGUCAAAUCAGCACGGCCCUUACGUCCGGGGCUACACACGUGUUACAAUGGGGGGUACAGAGGGCCGCUACCACGCGAGUGGAUGCCAAUCCCCAAAACCUCUCUCAGUUCGGACUGGAGUCUGCAACCCGACUCCACGAAGCUGGAUUCGCUAGUAAUCGCGCAUCAGCCACGGCGCGGUGAAUACGUUCCCGGGCCUUGUACACACCGCCCGUCAAGCCAUGGGAGCCGGGGGUACCUGAAGUGCGUAACCGCGAGGAGCGCCCUAGGGUAAAACUGGUGACUGGGGCUAAGUCGUAACAAGGUAGCCGUACCGGAAGGUGCGGCUG
rnacentral:rRNA from 1 species